GUAUAUGUUUUUAAAUCGUUUCCGUUAAUUUAUUCCCAAUUUUUAUUUAAUUGGUGACGAUUAAGACUUUGAUAAAUUGUGUACUUUCAAAUCGGUGUAUGAAAAAAAACAUAACUGCAAGGGUUGUUGAGUUUAAAUAAGAUUAAUUGCUUUUGAAUAUCUUUCCCUCAAUGAUAUGCGUAAAAGAACCGAGAAAGAUGCUGUAAUACCUGAAUUUAAAAGGUUAAAUAAACAGAAAAUAUGUUUCUCUUUCAAAACCUUUUACUCCCCGCAAUCACCCC
rnacentral:lncRNA from 1 species